AGAGUUGAUCAUGGCUCAGGAUGAACGCUGGCGGCGUGCCUAACACAUGCAAGUCGAGCGGACCUGAUUAAGUGAAUAGCUUGCUAUGAACUUAUGACUGGUUAGCGGCGGACGGGUGAGUAACGCGUGGGUAACCUGCCUCAUACAGGGGGAUAGCAGUUGGAAACGACUGGUAAUACCGCAUAAGCGCACAGUACCGCAUGGUACAGUGUGAAAAAACUCCGGUGGUAUGAGAUGGACCCGCGUCCGAUUAGCCAGUUGCGGGUAACGGCCCACCAAAGCGACGAUCGGUAGCCGGCCUGAGAGGGCGGACGGCCACAUUGGGACUGAGACACGGCCCAGACUCCUACGGGAGGCAGCAGUGGGGGAUAUUGCACAAUGGAGGAAACUCUGAUGCCAGCGACGCCGCGUGGGUGAAGAAGUAUUUCGGUAUGUAAAGCCCUAUCAGCAGGGACGAUAAUGACGGUACCUGACUAAGAAGCCCCGGCUAACUACGUGCCAGCAGCUGC
rnacentral:rRNA from 1 species